AAGGUACCUCAGUAGAAGAGACGACCGGGUAAAUCUGUGCCAGAAGAGCGCGGUAUAUAUAAGAGGGGGCGAAGACGUGUGUAUCGGAGAUAUACAUGGGCGUAAAGAGCGUGUAGAGCGGAGNUGGCAAGAGGGKGGUGAGAAUACCUGGGGUUAACCUAGGAAAGCAUYUGAAACUGCUUGUCUUGAGUAAGGGAGAGGGGGGCGGAAAUCCCGGUGUAGAGGUGAAAAWCGUAGAUAUAGGGAGGAACAUCAGUGGGGAAGGCGGGCACCUGGAGAAADACUGAGGCUGAGAGGGGAAAGAGUGGGGGGVAAACAGGAGUAGAGUACACCUGGUAGUCCACGCGCGUAAACGAGGAGAAUUAGGUGCAGCGGAUAUUGAGGUGUUGCGGUGCCGAAGUAACGGGUUAAGUA
rnacentral:rRNA from 1 species